UCCACAUGUAUAAAAGUGAUCUCUGUCAAACUCUGACACCCAACAUGAGUCUCUACCAUCACUGGACAACAAGAUGCCUUCAAAACCUUCAAGGUUAGUCAUUUCAGUAAAUGCCAGCAGUACUUCCUGUAAGCACAAUGUAAAUCUACCUUGUCUUGUUAUAUCUUCUGCUAAAAAACAUUUGUUUUCAUUCUAACCUUCAUAUUGUGGCUGUUCUUUGCAGGUUCAAGCGUCACUUCCCAUGUAAGCCAAGUCUUUCUGCCACUGCCCUGACCAGCAGAGUCCCAGAGAAAGUUUAAUCCUCGGAACAACUACACAGUCUGCCUCCUCUUGCUGCCUUUGUAAGGACUGUGAGGUGCCCACAAAUCGCACAUGCUCACACUAUAGUAUGUGAGCGUGUCAUGGUUGCCAUGGUUCCGCUCCACGUGCAUCAUUAGAUACAGAAUUCAAACAUAAACAAAACCUAGAACGAGCAAGAUCAAUUUUCAACAAAUCUUUACGCCAAG